rnacentral:rRNA from 1 species
AUGGGCCGAUUGUAUGCAGGUCCGGAACAGCCUGCUCAUUUCUCAAAACUACGGCCCACGGCCCCGGCCGGACUCACUCAACUGACGCACGCUCUCGUCGUGCACGAACACAGAGCCCUCCAGCUCCUCGGCGGCCCUCCCCUCUUCUCCGUCCCGGUCGCCACUCCCCGCCCUCGGAGCUCCCGGGCGGCGGCAGCCAUGUACCGGGUCGCCGGCAGCCACCUCCGCGCUCUCAAGCAACAUGGUUCUAGUAGGUUUGCUAGUACAAGUGUUGUGAAGCAGUCUUCUGGUGGUUUAUUUGGUUGGCUUCUUGGUAGCAAGCCAACCCAGUUUCCAACUCUUGAUGUCCCUCUCCCAGGCGUCACUAUUCCUCCACCACUACCAGACUUCGUAGAGCCAGCCAAGGCAAAAGUUACCACUCUCCCGAAUGGCCUCAAAAUUGCUUCAGAAACAUCAACGAGUCCAGCAGCAACAGUGGGAUUGUAUAUUGAUUGUGGUUCUAUGUAUGAAACACCUGGUUCGUCUGGAGCAUCGCAUCUACUGGAGAGAAUGUCAUUCAAGAGCACCACAAACAGGAGUCAUUUGCGGCUAGUACGCGAGGUAGAGUCCAUUGGAGGGAAUGUCUCUGCGAUAGCUACUCGUGAACAAAUGUGCUAUACCUAUGAUGCAUUCAGGGCCUAUGUACCUGAUAUGGUUGAAGUGCUUAUUGAUAGUGUGAGAAACCCAGCAUUUCUUGAUUGGGAGGUUAAAGAGCAGCUGGAGGAGAUGAAAGCUGAAAUAGCUGAAUUUUCUGCUAAUCCUCAAGGUUUACUUUUAGAGGCUCUCCAUUCUGCUGGCUAUACUGGGGCACUGGCAAAGCCCUUGGUGGCACCAGAGCCUGCCAUACAUAAAUUGGACAGUGGCGUUCUUAAGGAAUUCGUUGCUGAAAACUACACAGCACCCAGGAUGGUCCUAGCAGCAUCAGGAGUUGAGCAUGAUGUGCUAGUUUCAAUUGCUGAGCCACUUCUCUCUGAUCUUCCUGCUGUGAAGCGUCCAGAAGAGCCAAAAUCAGUUUAUGUGGGAGGAGACUAUCGUUGUCAAGCAGACUGUCAAAACACACAUUUUGCUCUUGCUUUUGAAGUGCCAGGUGGAUGGUAUGAAGAGAAAACAGCUAUUACUGUAACUGUCCUUCAGAAGCUCAUGGGGGGAGGUGAUUGGUUCUGUACUGGCGGUGUUGGGAAGGGCUUGUAUUCUCGAUUAUCUCUCCGGAUAUUAAGCCACUACCAUCAGAUCGAAUCAUUCUCCGCUUUCAAUCGUAUCUACAACUAUUCUGGUAUUUUUGGAAUUCUUGCAACAACCAGCCCAGAUUUUGCCUCGAAGGCUGUGGAUUUGGCAGCAGGGGAACUUCUUGAAGUUGCCACUCCUGGAAAUGUUACACAAGGACAGCUUGAUCGAGCUAAACGGGCAGCAAAGUGUAAAGUUUUGAUGGACUUGGAAUCAAGAGCUGUAGCAUGUGAAGACAUUGGGAGGCAGGUUAUGACUUAUGGUGAAAGGGAACCCAUCGAGAAAUUCUUGAACGAUGUCGAAGCAAUUACUCUGAAUGACAUUUCUUCAACUGCCAAGAACAUUAUUUCUACACCCCUUACGAUGGCAUCAUGGGGUGAUGUUACUAAUGUCCCAACCUACGAGUCUGUUAGCAGGAAGUUCCAUUCAAAGUGA